UAACANGGAUUCCCCUAGUAACUGCGAGUGAAGCGGGAAGAGCUCAAAUUUAAAAUCUGGCAGUCUCCUGGCUGUCCGAGUUGUAAUCUGGAGAAGCGUUUUCUGUGUUAGACCGUGUACAAGUCUCCUGGAACGGAGCGUCAUAGAGGGUGAGAAUCCCGUCCAUGACACGGACUACUAAUACUUUGUGAUACGCUCUCGAAGAGUCGAGUUGUUUGGGAAUGCAGCUCAAAAUGGGUGGUAAAUUCCAUCUAAAGCUAAAUACAGGCGAGAGACCGAUAGCGAACAAGUACCGUGAGGGAAAGAUGAAAAGCACUUUGGAAAGAGAGUUAAACAGUACGUGAAAUUGUUGAAAGGGAAACGCUUGAAGUCAGUCGCGUUGUGCAGAACUCAGCCUUGCCUCGGCUUGGUGUACUUUCUGCACAACGGGUCAACAUCAAUUUUGGCCCAUGGAGAAAGGUGGGGGGAAUGUAGCGCUGUUUCGGCAGCGUGUUAUAGCCCUCCACUGUAUACAUGGGCUGGGAUUGAGGAACGCAGCACGCCCUUGUGGCCGGGGGUUCGCCCCACGUACCGUGCUUAGGAUGUUGGCAGAAUGGCUUUAAGCGACCCGUCUUGAAACACGGACCAAGGAGUCUAACAUGCUUGCGAGUGUUCGGGUGGAAAACCCUUGUGCGUAAUGAAAGUGAAAGUUGGGAACCUCCGCAAGGGGGUGCACCGACGCCCGGCCCUGACGUUCUCUGACGGUGCUGCGGUAGAGCAAGUAUGCUAGGACCCGAAAGAUGGUGAACUAUGCCU
rnacentral:rRNA from 1 species